AUUCAGCACUCCGUCCUCGUGACCUAAUCAUAUCCCAAAGCCCCACUCCUAAUACCGUCACCUGCGGUAAGAUUCCAACAUGUGAGUUUUAGGGAGGACAGACAUUCAGAGCCUCGCAGUUCCUUCUUCUUGACUUUGGGGAUCACCAAACUCAUCAUCUCACGCCACAACAGAACACUGAAGCCCUCCUGGGACUCAAAAUGGUUCACCCAGGAAAAAACCAAGGUUGAGCCUCAGUCCCUCUGAAUCAACCCAUCCCCUGGUACCUGUCACUGAGGCCGCCUGGGCUUCUGCAGACACCUUGGGAACCUUCUUCUAUCUUCUUCUGACAGCAUUCCAGAGAAAAAUGUGUUGUUAAUUAAAGACAUGAGGAUGUAGCUCAAAGAAUUAACAGUAGGGCCUUGAAAGGUAUUUGUACAUCAAUAUUCAUAGCAGCCUUAACUGCAAUAGCCAAAAAGUGACAGCAACCCAAGUGUCCAUUGACAGAAGAAUGCAUAAGCAAAAUGUGGUCUAUCCAUACAGCGGAAUAUCACUCAGCCUUAAAAAGGAAGAAAAUUCUGACACUUGCUACAACACAGAUGAACCUUGAGGACAUUCUGCUGAGUGAAAUAAGCUAGACACAGAAGGACAGAUAGUGUACGAUCCACUUCUGUGAGGGACCUGCGGUAGUCCAAGUCAGAGAGAGAGAAAGCAGAAUGGUGGUUUUCAGGGGCCAUAGGGACAGAAGAAAAAUGGGAAGAUACUGUUUAAUUGUUGAAAAAUUAUGCUUGGGAAAGUAGGAAAGUUCUAGAGAUGGAUGGUGGUGAUGAUUGCACAAUAUGUGAAUAUGCUUAGUGCUGCUCCCCUGUAGAUUUAAAAAUGGUUAAGAUGGCACUGUGGUAGUGUCCCCCAAAGGAUGGUGUCCCCGAAAGGUCCAUGUGUUAAAGGUUUGGUUAAAGGUGGCAGUGUUGAGAAAUGCUGUGGAUCUUUAAGAGGUGGGGCUUAGUGGGAGAUCCUAGGUCAUUGGGGGUGUGCCCUCAGAGGGGAUAGCAGAACUCCAGUCCCCCAGUCUCUCUCUGCUCCCUGACUCAAGAUGUAAGCAGUUUACUCUCAUGCAGGCUUCCACCGUGAUGUGCUGAGUAACAACGGGGCCACUCAAUCUCAGACUAGCACCUCCAGAACCAUGAGCUAAAUAGACUUUUCUCUUUAUAAGUUAAUUACUUCAAGCAUUUCACUACAGUCAUGGAAAACUGACUGAUACAAAUGGUGAAUUUUGUUAAAUGUAUUUUAACACAAUUAAAUUUUUAAAAUCCAAGCAAGUGGUUUAGUAUAAAGAACGUGGCGGGUGGGCAUGGUGUCACUCAGCCAUAGAGCAGUUGUCUAGCAAGUAUGAGGCUCCAGGAUUGACCUCCAGCACUGCCA
rnacentral:lncRNA from 1 species